GUUUAUUUUGAUGGCAAUUCAUAGCUUUUUAAUUUAGGUUUGAUGCGUAACCGUUUCGAUAUUGCUCUUCAUAAGCAAACACCGAAAAUACACUGUUUUCUGACAGCAGAUUUCCUAAUUUACAUUUAUUUAUUUUUCAAUAUUGACAAAUAGUCCUAUUAAAUUGCUAAAACAAUUUCGCUCAAUUGUACUUUUUUACUUCAUUCACACAAAUCAUUGCUUGCUUUCUGCCUUGCUUCGUGUAAUUUGCAACUUUUUGUCGGCAGACAAAUUUCCAUAAUUGCUGGCGAUGACGCCGCCACAGACAACAGUGACUCAAGUAGAGUGCCACAAUCAGCAACAAUAAAGUAUACAGAAAUAAAAACAACAAAUAAAUAAAAACAAUGUCAAGCAAAACAAAUUUACAAAUUCAACAACAAAAUGAACAAAUAGCGAAAGGCAGCAAAGUGGAAAAUGUGGCGUGGGGCUAGGGAUAAGACGAACUUGGUGGGAACAGAACGAAUGGCAUAGAAACUGGGUCAAAUGUAAUAAACAAACUCAUGUGCAUCCGCACAAACCUACACAAGCAAAUACUAAUAAAACUAUUACGCUCUGUGUUGGUUGCCAAUGUAACAAACGGGGAGGGGUGAGGGAAAUGGUGGAUGAGAACGGCUAGCAUAACACAUGCAAGCACUUAUGUGACACACAUAUUCGUAUGACGCUCCUCAUUCCUGUGGACAUACAUUCCUGGCGGCCGUAGUUGCGGCAACUUGCUCAUCUAUGUUACACCGUCUCUCAGCAAACACUUAGCAUUCUAAAUGGCUAAGCAACAAAGACAAGUGCUCAGCAAAUAGUGUCAACGUGAGCGCUCGAAAGCGGGGAGCUGGAUUGUGUGUAUGAGUAACAUGAAAUUACUACAAGAAUAAAAAUACGGCUAAACAAUAGUUACAACAAUGAGCGCGUCAAUGGCCGCCGCUUGCGUCGGUAGUAAAAUAACAAUGACUGCGACAAUAUGGCGUCGAAUGUGUGUUAGUGAGUGCCGUUAUAUUAUCCGUGCUAGGCACCGGGAGUCACGCAUUACACACAUACAGUCAUGGGUAUGUGCUGAGUGUGUGAAUAGUUGCUUUAGUUCAGAUGAACUAUAUAAAUAUGCAUGCAAACGAACAUAUUUUUGCUUUGCCAAUAAUAGAAAUUGUCUUAGAAAAAGCGGCACAAUAUAACCUUGAACACAACAUAUCAUAUUUCGUGAAUUUCGUGGUGCCACAGCAACUAUUUGGCAGUGAAUAGAAGAAAAAGCCGAAGGUCAAAAGCGAAAGACAGUGAAAUUUGUUCGAAAGAAGUAAGGAGAUUUAUAUAUACCGAAACCGGCUUGGGGUUAUAUACAAUAAAACACCGUUCACGCGGUAGUUUUACUUUUAAUUAUUUGAGGAAUUUUAAGUAUAUUAAACUGCUGUAAUGAUUCUAAAAUCGAUCCAGGAAAAAGUCAAAAUUAUGUCCCGCAGUCAAUGAAAAUGAUUACAUCUCACUCAAACUUUUGGCGGAAUCUCAUUAGUAAAUUGUGUCUAUUUAAGACCCUCCAAGCUUCGGAAUUUAACAAAA